rnacentral:rRNA from 1 species
AUACGUAGGUGACAAGCGUUAUCCGGAUUUACUGGGCGUAAAGGGCGUGUAGGCGGUCUUGCAAGUCAGAAGUGAAAUUCCUGAGCUCAACUCGGGCGCUGCUUCUGAAACUGCAGGACUUGAGUGCUGGAGGGGAUAGCGGAAUUCCUAGUGGAGCGGUAAAAUGCGCAGAUAUUAGGAAGAACACCGGUGGCGAAGGCGGCUAUCUGGACAGUAACUGACGCUGAGGCGCGAAAGCGUGGGGAGCAAACAGGAUUAGACACCCUGGUAGUCCACGCCAUAAACGAUGAAUACUAGGUGUAGGGGGUAUCGACUCCCUCUGUGCCGCAGUUAACACAAUAAGUAUUCCGCCUGGGGAGUACGGCCGCAAGGUUGAAACUCAAAGGAAUUGACGGGG